ACUGGGAUAGCUCAGUUGGUAGAGCAUGAGACUCUUAAUUUCAGGGUCGUAAAUUGAGCAAAAGAUUCCUGCAUUGCAGUG